CGCCGGCCUGGUGGAGCGGAUCACCACCUGGCGUUCGCAGACCGGCGCGAUCCCGGGCGCGUUCGACGCGUGGCUGGCGC
rnacentral:tRNA from 1 species